GAAAACGAUGACGCGAGUUAUCGUCUCUAACGUUCGAGGACUACAAAAAACACUCGGAUUGUAGGCAACAGUUUACUUCCUGGGAUUAGUGACGUAGAUAAGACCAACAUUAUCAUAGUUCAGCCCUCUCUGCUUUGCUUGGGUACGCCCUCAAAGACGGGGGUGGGGAGCGCCGAGUCAGAAGAGAGCUAAAAUGGCGGAGGUUGUGAGUCCCUGCUUUGACUCUGUUUGCAAACUCUUGUUUCAUUGUUUAAGCGAUUAAAUCUCUCGAGUAGACGCUGUCUCUUUAGAUGCGAGGGAAAAAUAGCACUUUAUGGACUUCCACAGAGGACAUCAUGUUUAAUACGGUUCCGGAAAAAUCCAGUCAGAAGUUGUUCACGGAGUUUUCACAAUAACUGCUUCUCAUGAACCGAAGCUGGAUUUGCGCGACGUCUCCUCUUGAAAGUUGGAUUACUGUGCACUUCUGGAUCACAGGCUAUUCGCAGCUGGACACAUCCUUCUACACUGUAUGCAAACAUGCAACAUCAUUACACACAGUACAAGGAGUCAGACUGGCAUAUGAGGAGCAAAGGAACCCAGGCAGUAGCAUCGUUUCACAAUGUUUCCAUCACCAUCAUCAGUGGAUGCCUUUGCCGUCCGUAGCCUGAGAUUUCAGAUUUGCAGCAAAAAAAAUUGAUUUUCUCAUUUAUUGGAAUGCUGUGCAGGUAUUUGUACCUUGCAGCCAUCCAUUACAAUGUCACCAAGCCGUAACAAAAGCAGGAGAGGGAAAGUACAAGGCUAUGUUCCCAAAACACACAAGUGACAUACCUUAUGUGGAGGAUGUGAUCAGGCUUGUGUUUGAUGAGGUAUUUGAAGAUAAGCUGAAGGAAGCCCCGAUUCCAAUGGACCUGGCAUCACAGUUUGAGAGACCUUCAAAGGAGGACGUGAUUGCAUGCCAUCUUCAGUGCAGGGGUCGUCGAAAGCCAAAAUUGUGACCGAUCUGAUCAGGAAGCUCCAAGCGUAUCUGGAGAACAACACACGACAGGAUGAUAACCUUAUAGUGUCGUCUUAAAUAGCACCAGCUGACAAAGCUUUGAUAUGCCAUUUAUCUGAAUAGAUAGCUGUAAGAAAUGAAUUGAACAAUUUUUGAAACAAGAGCACAAUAUGGUUACUAAAGUAUGUUUAUUUGUAUAUUGUUUAACAUUUAAAUAUAUAUUUGUAAUAAAUAAAUAAAACUUUUGACUGACUAUUAUAUUUUCUUUAAAGUUACAUCUUUUGUUCUUUUGGGUACUUUGUUACUAUAAUGAUACUUUAGUGUUAUUGGUUUAAAAAUGUAAUAAAACUUACUCUA